GUUUUAAUAAUUUAAAUAAAAUAUUGGUCUUGUAAACCAAAAAUAAGUUAACCUUUUAAAACU
rnacentral:tRNA from 1 species